GCAGCAGCAACAGCAACAGCAAUAGCAGCAGCAGCAGCAACAGCAGCAGCAACAGCAACAGCAAUAGCAGCAGCAGUAGCAAUAGCAGUAGCUAUCUUGAUUUCCAUCCCUGGCAAAAUUCUAAGAAUAUUAAUAAAGGGAUACAUAAUGAAAAACUAGAAAAGAGAAUGAAGAUGACAAUGAAAUAGUAUAUUUUCACUUGAGAAUGGGUUGUCUCAAACUAACCUCUGAAAGGAAGGAAACAAGAAUUAAUUACUCUGUGCUAGACACUGUGCUAUCACUACUAUUAUUACUACUAGUAUUGCUACUGCUACUGCUACUGCUACAUCCUUCCUUUCAGAGGUAAACACGGUGGCAGUGUAGAUGCAGGACUCUUCCUCUCCUCAUCGCCUACAGAUAUAGACUACUUCAAAAGGCAAAAAAAAACCAAAUUCAUAUGAAUGAGGAGACUCCACAGUAGAGCACAGCAGUGCAGGUUCCUGGAUGAGUCUGCUUUCAGAAGAUCAGCCGCUAGCCAAAUUGUCACUGUAGCCCAGUAGACGCUCUUUGGUCAUCUGUUGCUUUUCCUGAAAACCCAAGUACUGGAGGCUGCUGGAUUCUCUGCUAUUGGGAUCUGGGAAAUAUUAAAGCAUGUUCCUGAGUCUCAUCCAGGUUGAUUUUACUGUAAUUGAAACCACAGUACAAAUAGGGUGCUUGUUUCUGCCAGGCUUAAACCUGUGCUUGUCCAUGAAUUGAGUGGAAAGGGUUCUUUCCUGCAACUCAAAAUUCAAGAGUUGGGAUACCAACAAAAAUGUCUUGUUUAAAAGAAUUAGCUUUAAAAAAUGGCAUGAAGGAGAAAAUUGUGUAUUUUGUGGUCUCCACCUACUGCUGAUUUUUGUUUUGGCAAACAGCAUUUUUACCACAGGCAUUAGGUCCUCCAAGAUCAAACAGUAUAAAUUAAAUAUGACUUGGCCUAAAAAGCUAUAUAUUAACUAUAAAUCUGUCAUCUUAGUUUCGUUCCUAAAUGGGGGCAGAAGUUUUUCUCUUUUCAAAUAAACAUAUACACUACCAAGUAAUAUCUUCCAUAGACAUAGCAAUCUCUUUUUCUCAAAUAUUUAACCAAGAACAGCCAAAGAAUAUGCUCAUACCAAUCAGGAGAGGUAAAUUAAACAAGCCUAGACUUUCAUUUCACUUUUUUUUUUAUCGCAACAAAGCCUUUUUCAAAAAAAAAAUGCUGGUUCCC